rnacentral:rRNA from 1 species
CCUACGGGAGGCAGCAGUGGGGAAUAUUGCACAAUGGGCGAAAGCCUGAUGCAGCAACGCCGCGUGAGCGAUGAAGGCCUUCGGGUCGUAAAGCUCUGUUCUCAAGGAAGCUAAUGACGGUACUUGAGGAGGAAGCCCCGGCUAACUACGUGCCAGCAGCCGCGGUAAUACGUAGGGGGCUAGCGUUAUCCGGAAUUACUGGGCGUAAAGGGUGCGUAGGUGGUUUCUUAAGUCAGCGGUGAAAGGCUAGGGCUCAACCGUAGUAAGCCUUUGAAACUGGGGAACUUGAGUUGAGGAGAGGAGAGUGGAAUUCCUAGUGUAGCGGUGAAAUGCGUAGAUAUUAGGAGGAACACCAGUUGCGAAGGCGGCUCUCUGGACUGUAACUGACGCUGAGGCACGAAAGCGUGGGGAGCAAACAGGAUUAGAUACCCGGGUAGUC